ensembl:lncRNA
GUGAGUUUAUACACGAUCGUGAGGUGGGAAUAACUCUGUGCUAGACCGUUUUUAUGUAGGUUUCUCAGAACUACUGGGAUAAAUAAAAAGGAAAGGAUGAAGGAAGAUGAAUGGGCAGCUCAUUUAAGAAUGAAUGGACUGGUUUGUUUGGGUCUUCGCCGUGAAUAGCGAGCAGCAGUCUAGACUAAUUAUAUAAAGACUUGACAGACUGCUAAAUGAUUGAAUGGUACAAAGAUUGAUAUUUUUGUUUAUCCCUUCAGACAAUGACUUGGCAGGGCAUUUGAAAUAGGAGUGGUCACAUGUGCUACUCGGGAACAUGUGACAUGUGACACCUAUUCUUAAAAUGUAUCGGACUAGACAGAGAUCCUUACAUGACUCCACAGGAACUAUUCAGGGGAAUAUCAAAGGAAAACAUCACACAUAAGUCAUCCCGAGAUAGCAACAUAUCAUCCUGUCUGCAGUUUCUUUUAUUCUACUUGUUUUAUUCUCUUUGAUCGACCUGUCCUUGGCCACCCAGUUAUAGAAAUAUUAGCUGUUUAUUGACCUUUCUCUUUUUUUCUAUCUGCUUUGACUAACACAUAAAAGAAACUCUUUUGGAAUUUCAUGUGUUAUUGUUUGUCAGAUAAUAAAAAAUGCAAUUUAUAUUCUGUGAAAUCCUUUCUAAGUCAUAUCUAGUGCUGUGGGUACAAACAAUCAGAGAACGCGGUGUUUUAGUUUUCUGUAUCUGAGGGUGUAUACACAGUAGCGUGCAUGCAGUAGCUGUUUACACCUGGGAAUGUGUGCGUUUUAUGUGGAAAAGCUCUGAGCUUAUUGGAAUAUUUUGUGGCCUCGGGAUAUCCUUCCUGUGAGUGACAGUUUGGAAUGACUACUAUCCCACAUUACCAUGCUAUUACCAUAACAAUCCAUUCACAUGUUGGUAUGGAUCUAAACCCAUCCCCCCACCACUUCCCCCAACACAGAAGGGUGUGGUUUAGAUUUCAGAGUGCUGUUAUCUGGAGUAAAGUCGCCAUCAGACAGCUUUGAAAUGUCAAAAAGCGAUUUUAUUUUCUAAACUUAACUUUGUCAUCUCGCCUCGAUGUCAUGAUGACAUUUUGAAGACAAGCAUUAAACUGUUUUACAUUUCAGACAUCAAGGCCAGAAACCGUAAAUGUUUCACAGUUAUUAAUUUGAAAAAAACUGUAUCUGAUGUUUACUGUGUGUGUGUGUCCAUGAACAGUACAGUCAUGCAUUGCAGAGGGACACAGUGUUCCUACUUAUUUUCUGUUCCAGUAGCCGGUGUUCCUCGCUGGCGCCAGUGCAAAGAAUAGCCUGGCAGGGAGGUGUAAAUUAUGGAUUAGCUUGUUGAGUAUUGUGCUAGUGCAGGCAAUCUAUCUCAAUGUAUGUUUGAGCGUUUGGGUGUGCAUGUAUAGUAGGUAUGUGCAGGUAUGUUUGUCAGAGUAUCCAAUCGGUGCAAUGUUUUUUCCCCGGUCUGUGUGUGUGUGUGGCAUAGCCUAUGACUCCCUCACUAAACACAUGACAUGUUUGGCAGUUGACUUGGAAAAUGUUACAUUAUAGGUACUACUGAGCUGAUUUAGCUCACUGCUCGUACUUCAGCAGAGUGGAAAAACUGAUAGGUGUGAAGAGAAACAACUUUGUUAAUAGUUGUUUCAUAGGGCCCGUGGGAGCACUUAAAGGUGUUUUUGAAGCUUUACAUCGUCAGUAGCAAGCAGUAGGUUUAGGGUGCAGCAGUGGGGGUAAGGAAAGUUGAAAUCACAGAGAGAGAGAGAGAGUGUUUUCAUAGUAUUUAUUAAAAUGAACAAAACAACAGUGGGAUAUUUGGAUCUUUGUCUUAAAAGCGUUCACCUUUGAGCUCUUUUUUCUUAGGCCACCAGCUGCCAGCAUAACACCCCUACCUCCCAGUUUCUAAUCAGGUGUUCCAGCGGCUACGUCUGUCCAACGGGGAUGAGAGCGCCGCCCUUGGAGAGCUUCUGCGAUGGCGGCGAUUGCAGUGUGAGGGGCGGAGUGACUGGAAGCGCCGCCCACCUAAGUCCCCACCCCUGCCCCCCACGCCCACCUAAGUCCCCACCCCUGCCCCCCACACUGCUCUGGACCAACAGGAAGGCCCCUCCAUGAUGGAGGUUUUCUGAUAAAGUCACAUACGUUGGCUAUGAAGUUCCUCCCUCUUUCUUCAGCCACACUUCCACGAGCUUUUCAAUUUUAUUCGUUUCCCUUUUUUUUGUUUGUUUUUGAUCUGUUAACCUCUGUCCCCAUUGACUAAGCUGAAGCUCCAAGAAUGAGCCUAGUCCGUGGGGUGAAGGUCCUGCUUUUUCCCUUUGCACUCAACUGUGGGGGAUUCCCUUACUUAUGUGAUAGAAACUCAGCACCAUGUGACAGCUAACUGAUACUAACUGAUAUCCAUGAAAAAUGACUGCAAAGCAGAAAAAGAAUAGAUGCGGGAUAGUCUGUGAUGACAUAUAUGAUCAAAAAGAGAAAAACACUGACUUGUCUAUUUAUUUUCAGCUCUUCUAAGAUGAAAUGACUGACGCUGAUCAAUAGGAGGCUUACAAGCAAAGUAGUUGACCUGGGGUUUAGAUGCCGAAUGGCCAUCUGAUUUGGAUCGUAUGGCCUCAUAAGAUGAGCUGCUGUAUUAAAAUGAGCUCCACUCUAAAACCCGGUGCUGAUUAUACUUGACGUGCUGUGAUGUUCCCGUGUGAUGCUUUCUCAUAUGUGCACACCUCAGAAAGUCUCAGAAAGUUUACAAGUCAACCAACGCCUCUGGAGACCUUCAGUUUUGAACAACACUUUACUGGCUUAGACAUGGGACCUUUUUCAGGUACACAGCUCUCAUUUAGCGUCUCAUGUGUGGGCUCUAAGUGCUACUGCAGCCCUGGCAGCAAGGGGCCCGGGGUCAGGGUAACCUCAGUAUUAUCCCAAGGUGCACUUCUCUUCCCCCUUGUUACCACCAGCCUGUGAGAAAGCCCUCUGGCCAAUCCUAAACUACUGCACUUACCUUUACUAGGAGACGGGGAUCCAACUAAUGAGCAUACUUUGGCUUUAUGUAUAAAGGUAAAGCUGAGAUUUUAAAAAAAGAAAAGAAAAAAAAAGCUUUAGCCGAUAGGUAUUUAGUUCAUGUUCUGAACAUGAAACUCUGUGCCAAAGUGAUACAAUGUGUGAAAGCUAUAUCUAAACUAACAAGUAUAGUUAUUAAAACUGAUGCGUACGGUAGUCUCCUUAUGCUUGUAUACUGUAUGUACAGACUGACAAAUGACCAAAUCAUAGCUGUUGUUGCAGUUCACUGGUGAUCCUGUGUGGACUAAAAACAUUAAAAAGUGUUUAAAAUGGGUAUAAAACUGUUCACACUCUUAACGUGUCUCAUCAGCAUCUGAACAGGUUAAUGCGUUUUUCAGGAGACCUCACGCACAGAUGAACCUGAUUAUUGUACAGAUCCCUACUUCGUUGUUGUGUCCUCGCAGGCGCCUAUUUUUUACCUUCUCUGUCCUGUCCUCAUCUUCUUUUCCUUUCCCGUACUUGACCCAAAACAAACAGACCCCCUUGCCCUUUCCCCUACUUGACCCACCCCACCUCCUCCAGUGGAUCAAACCGGCUUUACGGGUGUUUCCAUGGUAGCCACAGUGUAAAUAGUGAAUGGUGUCAUAUGUUUUAGCUUUUACUAUAGAAGAAAAGCACGGCGGUUGACCUUGAAGAUGAAAGACAAGGAUGAGUAUAUAAUACUGUGUAUGGUGAAACUGAGAUUGAAGAAUGUCUCGGGUUAGAUGCAAUGCUGAGAGAAAGAGGUCUAUUUUAAGAUGUGAAUAUCUUUUCUUUUUUUUCUUUUUUUUAGAACGACUGUCUACGGUUAUGAAAAUUCGUUUAUACUCUAUUUAAUGAUUUGUUUAUUCCCCUUCGACCCCAUUGUUCUGCUCCCUGAUGCAAUGCAGAUGUUCUAAAUGUAUAUGGAUGUUUUAUUGCACAAUGUUUAUGUGGUGUUGUGUUGACCUCUGUAAUGGGCUGGGUGUGUCUAGACAAGGUGUUCGAUCUUUAAAGAUCCAGUCUGAAUUGUUAGAGCCUCCAAGUAUCAAUAGCUCUAAUAGAUUUCUCAUUCCCACUGAUCACCCACAAGGCAUUUAAAUUGGUUCAGAAUUGCAAAUUAGCAGCGCCAUCGCAGGAUCGAUUUCGGUUGUUGUCGGCGUGCGAAGGUGCACAAAUAUUCAAGAGCCCGUUGAAGGCGAACUUGCCCAGUUGUGUUUUGGUCUGACUGGCUGAAUGUACAAAUGCAAAAUUUUUAUUCCACCAUCCUGUGCACAUCUUUGAAUCUCUUUGUAUCUUAUUACCGGAACAUGCGCCUGAAUCAAAACAGUGUACCUAACUGCUUAAUGUGAUUAUUGUCUUCAGAAGUUGUGUAUGCAGUUCAUUUUUUUUCAAGCAAGUAUAAGGUAUUGAUUUGCCCCAUAUAUCACACCUUGUGCACUGUGAUUUGGGGCUGCAUGAGCACUGCAAUGGAGAAAUAUAUCAAACAUUUUCACACAAGUAGUUGUGUGUUUCAUCUGCGAUCAAACAAAAGACAGGAACCAAGACUAAGCUCGUCAACCUUGCUAAUGCCAUUGAAAGAAUUUCUAGCUUUGGUAUUUAUCCUUCAGUAUAAUCAGAGUUAUGGUUGGUCGUGUGCAGUUUUGUGUAUACUUAUGUUUAUGGAAGUCAUGAAAUGAGGACAUUUUUAAAUUGUAUUUUAAAGCAUAUCAGUGGUUUUUACCUUGCAUGACCACAUGUUGGGUGUCCUCCCCGUAUAACAUGCUCGUGCAGAAAAGAUAAAGGCUGUCUAAUGUGAAGAACUGCUUCCCUCUGCACUGUGAAUCACUCCACUGUCCCCCACUGUCUCGGCUAAACACAUCAUCCAUCCAUAUCCACAUAAACCCAUCUGCUAAUAUGUCCACUUCAUCACAUACAAAUCUUGAUGAAUUCGCUCACUCUGAAGUAAGCUCCGGCAGCCAAAAUACUGCCAGUCAUAUUCGUUAGCCAGGAAUCUAUAAAUCCUCUGCUCUGAGAUCACCUCUCUGGUGCUACUGCCAGUGUACAAUGGCCAUCUAUUGUCUCCAGUCCACUUAUAGUUGUCCAGAGAGACAUGAUAUUUCAGCACUGCCUUUCAUAUUGUUGUUGUUGUUGUUGUUUUUUUUUUUAUUGUAAUCUUUCUUUUGUACAUGACAUACAGUAUAUUUUAAUCUGCAUACAUAUGUGUUUGUGGAAAGAAAAAAAUUAUUGUGAUAUUUCAGAAUUAUUAUGUUCCCAAUUUUUUAAGUACUGUACUUGUACAGCAAUAAAGCACAAUUGUGUCAAUGCGA